GACGAACGCUGGCGGCGUGCUUAACACAUGCCAGUCGAACGGCAAGGCCCUGCUUUUGUGGGGUGCUCGAGUGGCGAACGGGUGAGUAACACGUGAGUAACCUGCCCUUGACUUUGGGAUAACUUCAGGUAACUGGGGCUAAUACCGGAUAGGAGCUCCUGCUGCAUGGUGGGGGUUGGAAAGUUUCGGCGGUGGGGGAUGGACUCGCGGCUUAUCAGCUUGUUGGUGGGGUAGUGGCUUACCAAGGCUUUGACGGGUAGCCGGCCUGGGAGGGUGACCGGCCACAUUGGGACUGAGAUACGGCCCAGACUGCUAUGGGAGGCAGCAGUGGGGAAUAUGGCACAAUGGGCGGAAGCCUGAUGCAGAAACGCUGCGUGCGGGAUGACGGCCUGCGGGUUGAAAACCGCUUUCGCCUGUGACGAAGCGGGAGUGACGGUAAUGGGUAAAGAAGCACCGGCUAACUACGUG
rnacentral:rRNA from 1 species